AUUGAACGCUGGCGGCAUGCCUUACACAUGCAAGUCGAACGGCAGCACGGGACCUUGCUCCUGGUGGCGAGUGGCGAACGGGUGAGUAAUACAUCGGAACGUACCCUGAAGUGGGGGGAUAACGUAGCGAAAGUUACGCUAAUACCGCAUAUUCUGUGAGCAGGAAAGAGGGGGAUCGCAGACCUCUUGCUUUAGGAGCGGCCGAUGUCGGAUUAGCUAGUUGGUGAGGUAAAGGCUCACCAAGGCGACGAUCCGUAGCGGGUCUGAGAGGAUGAUCCGCCACACUGGGACUGAGACACGGCCCCAGACUCCUACGGGAGGCAGGCAGUGGGGAAUUUUGGGACAAUGGGCGCAAGCCUGAUCCAGCCUAAUGCCGCGUGAGUGAAGAAGGCCUGGUGUAAGCUCGUUCUAGCCGGAA
rnacentral:rRNA from 1 species